rnacentral:misc_RNA from 1 species
CUGGUAUUCGCUUGAAUAUUGUGUAGCCAUUUUCAUCAGCACGUUCAGAUUUAGGAUCUUUAAGUGCUUUCUUGACGAGUACCUCUUGGAGUUUAGGCAGAAGUGCAUAAGAAGGAUUUGUUGGGUCAUCGAGAUAGGAGAAUACAGGUUGAUGCUCAACAACCAGCAAGAGCUCUUUCUCGCAGAAACGCGAUUCGAGUAGCAUUCCAUCUUCAGAAAUGUAUAGGGUUUUCCUUACCGCCUGGCGGAGCACUUGUUUCACAACUUCCCUCAUGUUCUCCUCCAAAUGCCUUAGAUCA